rnacentral:sRNA from 2 species
AGAUCUUAAUCGCUUAAUUCCGAUUGGAAACGGAGGAACCAAUAUUUACGUGGCUCAGCCACUCGGGGUGAAUCCAUAAUUUAUGGUAGGGCAACUCUUUAUGCCCGAAUCCGACAGCUAACUCCGUAAGCGUUUAGAGAGAGGAUGG